rnacentral:rRNA from 1 species
GGAUACUAGGUGUAGGAGGUAUCGCCCCUUUUUUGUGCCGGAGUUAACACAAUAAGUAUCCCACUUGGGGAGUACGACCGCAAGGUUGAAACUCAAAGGAAUUGACGGGGGGCCCGCACAAGCAGUGGAGUAUGUGGUUUAAUUNGAAGCAACGCGAAGAACCUUACCAGAACUUGACAUCCCUUGCAUUACCCUGUAAUGGGGGAAAUUCUACGGAACAAGGAGACAGGUGGUGCAUGGUUGUCGUCAGCUCGUGUCGUGAGAUGUUGGGUUAGUCCGGCAACGAGCGCAACCCCUAUUGUUAGUUGCUAUCAUUAAGUUGGGCACUCUAACGAGACUGCCGGUGACAAAUCGGAGGAAGGUGGGGAUGACGUCAAAUCAUCAUGCCCCUUAUGUUCUGGGCUACACACGUACUACAAUGGCUGUCAACAGAGGGAAGCGAAGCCGCGAGGUGGAGCGAAUCCCUAAAAGCAGUCUCAGUUCAGAUUGUAGGCUGAAACUCGCCUAUAUGAAGUCGGAAUUGCUAGUAAUCGCGGAUCAGCAUGCCGCGGUGAAUACGUUCCCGGGCCUUGUACACACCGCCCGUCACACCAUGAGAGUCGAUAACACCCGAAGCCUGUAGUCUAACCUUAGGGGGGACGCAGUCGAAGGUGGGAUUGAUAAUUAGGGUGAAGUCGUAACAAGGUAGCC